rnacentral:rRNA from 1 species
GGGGAAUCUUGGACAAUGGGCGCAAGCCUGAUCCAGCCAUGCCGCGUGAGUGAUGAAGGUCUUCGGAUUGUAAAACUCUUUCGUCAGGGACGAUAAUGACUGUACCUGAAGAAGAAGCCCCGGCUAACUUCGUGCCAGCAGCCGCGGUAAUACGAAGGGGGCUAGCGUUGUUCGGAAUUACUGGGCGUAAAGCGCGCGUAGGCGGAUCGUUAAGUCGGGGGUGAAAUCCCGGGGCUCAACCCCGGAACUGCCUUCGAUACUGGCGAUCUUGAGGAUGAGAGAGGCGAGUGGAAUUUCGAGUGUAGCAGUGAAAUGCGUAGAUAUUCGAAGGAACACCAGUGGCGAAGGCGACUCGCUGGCUCAUUUCUGACGCUGAGGCGCGAAAGCGUGGGUAGCAAAC